CGGGCGAUGGGCGGGGGAGUGGCUCUCCGAUUGGCUUCCUUAAGAUUGACCGACAGCUUCCGUGGAAACGCUCUGCUCGGAGUGAUGAAGUCGUAGGUGGAAGGCGGGCUCUAGAGGAACUUUCUCGCUGAUUGGACAAUAGUGAGGCAGAAUCCUCCCUGCCAAGGACAACAAUUACAUUCCAAUCAAUCAUUUAUUUUUCUGGGUUUUAUUUGCAGAUGUUGGCUUGUUUCUGGUCAAAAUGCCAUCAUAAGAACUCUACCCAAAAACGUUGACCAGUUUUAUUUUUCUCGGCCUUUUCUCUUCCACAGCGUGUCUUUCUCACCGUAACUGUAAAAUCCAGCACAUUAUUGGAAAUUUUAAAAAGGCAAGACAUAUAAACCUGUUAUCUGGGGUCUAGAUGUACUAGGAAUGUACAAAAAUAA